rnacentral:rRNA from 1 species
UGGGGAAUCUUCCGCAAUGGACGAAAGUCUGACGGAGCAACGCCGCGUGAGUGAAGAAGGUUUUCGGAUCGUAAAGCUCUUUCGUUAGGGACGAACGUGCUCUUUGUGAAUAAUGAGGAGUAAUGACGGUACCUAAAUAAGAAGCCACGGCUAACUACGUGACAGCAGCCGCGGUAAUACGUAGGUGGCAAGCGUUGUCCGGAAUUAUUGGGCGUAAAGCGCGCGCAGGCGGGAUAUCAAGUCUGUCUUAAAAGUGCGAGGCUCAACCUCGUGAGGGGACGGAAACUGGUAUUCUUGAGUGUCGGAGAGGAAAGUGGAAUUCCAAGUGUAGCGGUGAAAUGCGUAGAGAUUUGGAAGAACACCAGUGGCGAAGGCGACUUUCUGGACGAUGUCUUACGCUGAGGCGCGAAAGCUAGGGGAGCGAACGG